rnacentral:rRNA from 1 species
CCUACGAGCGGCAGCAGUGGGGGAUAUUGCACAAUGGGGGGAACCCUGAUGCAGCGACGCCGCGUGGGUGAAGAAGCGCCUCGGCGCGUAAAGCCCUGUCAGCAGGGAAGAAAAUGACGGUACCUGAAGAAGAAGCCCCGGCUAACUACGUGCCAGCAACCGCGGGAAUACGUAGGGGGCAAGCGUUAUCCGGAUUUACUGGGUGUAAAGGGGGCGCAGACGGCGCUGCAAGCCAGGAGUGAAAGCCCGGGGCCCAACCCCGGGACUGCUCUUGGAACUGCGUGGAGGGAGGGCAGGAGGGGCAGGUGGAAUUCCAGGUGUAGCGGUGAAAUGCGUAGAUAUCAGGAUGAACACCGGUGGCGAAGGCGGCCUGCUGGACUGCAACUGACGUUGAGGCCCGAAAGCGUGGGGAGCAAACAGGAUUAGAUACCCCGGUAGUC